rnacentral:lncRNA from 1 species
GGGGGAGCAAUAUGAGUACUGAACCAAAUCCCUGAUGUAAUUGCUUUUUAUAAUGACAACACAUUGAAAAUAACAACACAUAGAUGUUGUCAUGACACAACGGUGUUAGCAAAAUGAUGAAGAUGAAGUUUUAAUGAUGCCUAUAUCAAGUCAAGAUAUAUCAAGAUUCAAGAAAAUCCUUUGAAGACUUGCUUUGCUA